UCGAGGGGUAGGGUAGCAAUACCUGAGACCGGCGCACGGGUGCGUAACGCGUAUGCAAUCUACCUUUUACAGGGGAAUAGCCCAGAGAAAUUUGGAUUAAUGCCCCAUGGUAUUAUAGGAUGGCAUCAUUUUAUAAUUAAAGUUCCAACGGUAAAAGAUGAGCAUGCGUCCCAUUAGUUAGUUGGUAAGGUAACGGCUUACCAAGACUAUGAUGGGUAGGGGUCCUGAGAGGGAGAUCCCCCACACUGGUACUGAGACACGGACCAGACUCCUACGGGAGGCAGCAGUGAGGAAUAUUGGACAAUGGGCGCAAGCCUGAUCCAGCCAUGCCGCGUGCAGGAAGAAGCAUCUAUGGUGUGUAAACUGCUUUUGUACGGGAAGAAACACUCCUUCGUGAAGGAGCUUGACGGUACCGUAAGAAUAAGGAUCGGCUAACUCCGUGCCAGCAGCCGCGGUAAUACGGAGGAUCCAAGCGUUAUCCGGAAUCAUUGGGUUUAAAGGGUCCGUAGGCGGUUUAAUAAGUCAGUGGUGAAAUCUGGUCGCUCAACGAUCAAACGGCCAUUGAUACUGUUAGACUUGAAUUACAAGGAAGUAACUAGAAUAUGUAGUGUAGCGGUGAAAUGCUUAGAUAUUACAUGGAAUACCAAUUGCGAAGGCAGGUUACUACUUGUGGAUUGACGCUGAUGGACG
rnacentral:rRNA from 1 species